rnacentral:misc_RNA from 1 species
GAUGAAGAACGUAGCGAAAAGCGAUAAGUAGUGUGAAUUGCAGAAUUCAGUGAAUCAUCGAAUCUUUGAACGCACAUUGCGCCCCUUGGUAUUCCAUGGGGCAUGCCUGUUCGAGCGUCAUUUGUACCUUCAAGCUCUGCUUGGUGUUGGGUGUUUGUCCUUGCUCUAGUGGCGGGACUCGCCUUAAAGUAAUUGGCAGCCAGUGUUUUGGUUUUGAAGCGCAGCACAAGUCGCGAUUCAAGUCUAUACGCUAGUUUCCACAAGUCUUUUAUCACUUUUGACCUCGGAUCAGGUAGGGAUACCCGCUGAACUUAAGCAUAUCAAUAAGCGGAGGA